rnacentral:tRNA from 1 species
GAGGGUAUAGCUCAGUGGUAGAGCACGUGCUUAACAUGCAUGAGGUCCUGGGUUCAGUCUCCAGUGCCUCCA